rnacentral:rRNA from 1 species
UGAGGAAUAUUGGUCAAUGGUCGGGAGACUGAACCAGCCAAGCCGCGUGAGGGAUGAAGGUACAGAGUAUCGUAAACCUCUUUUGUCAGGGAACAAAAGGCGCCACGCGUGGCGCUCCGAGUGUACCUGAAGAAAAAGCAUCGGCUAACUCCGUGCCAGCAGCCGCGGUAAUACGGAGGAUGCGAGCGUUAUCCGGAUUUAUUGGGUUUAAAGGGUGCGUAGGCGGCGAGUUAAGUCAGCGGUAAAAGCCCGGGGCUCAACCCCGGCCCGCCGUUGAAACUGGCUUGCUUGAGUUGGAGAGAAGUAGGCGGAAUGCGCGGUGUAGCGGUGAAAUGCUUAGAUAUCGCGCAGAACCUCGAUUGCGAAGGCAGCCUACCGGCUCCAGACUGACGCUGAGGCACGAAAGCGUGGGUAUCGAAACAGGAUUAGAUACC